UUGUGUUAUCGCAAUUAACAAUAUUAUUAUUAAUAUAACAGCAUAGUCCUUAUAUUACAAUUUACAGAAGAUUUUUACAAUAAUUAACGAUGACACUAAAUAAAAUGAUAAUAUAUUUAUUAUACAACUAGGCCAGAUAGAGAAUCAGAAAGGGAUUUGCGCUUCAAUCGCUCCAUUAAGUUUUGGUGGUUUGCCUAAUGUGAAAAACAAUUUGUUGUUAUCGACCAGCCUCCUGUUGCUGUUGUCGGCAAACACAGGAGACAAAUCUUUUGCCCAAGGCGCACCGAUAAGAGGAAAUUACAGAAGGAUAUAGACGAAUGUAAACUGAGCAGUCCACUAGCAGUCAAGUUUUUGAACGUCCAUUACCGCCAUAAUCGUUUUCCGCACUUGAGCAUUGCAAGUACACCGUCCAUGUCGAACAUACUACAAGCGUAAUAACAUUGUUACAAUUUACAUUUUUAUCGUUUCCACGGUCGACUAAUUUAAUUGUAAAUUCUUUCAUAACUAUUGUUUUUAGGUUAUUAAACUAUGUCAAUUAUUAUUAUAUAACUUUUUUUUUUUUUAUGAACAAGACAAGAAAUAUGUUUGUUCUAUGAAAGAACUAAAAAAAAAAUGAAUCAUAUUUGAUUAUAAUAGCAACCGAGGGAUUAUUGUACUGGCUAUUUUAUAGGAUCGAGGACAAGAACUUUAAAUUAGCCAUUUUAGCUAGUUCUUGACUAUUUAUUGAUUUAAAGAAAAAAGUUUCUAAUAAACUGUUUUUUAGAACAAUUUUUUUUUUUUAAAGUUAAUUUAUAUUUGCUUACAUUUUUUGAAACCUGUGUGAAUAUUUUUAAUUAAUUUUUUGAUUAUUUUUAAACAGAAAUUACAAUGUUUAAUGACUUGUGACAUUUGACCUUUUGCAUAAAGUUUUGUUACAAAAGACACAUAUCAUAUUUUUUAAAAAGGCCAAUCUCACCAAAUCAUAUAAUUUAAAAACUAUAAAUUCCGCCAAUGUAUAAUGUUUAAAAUGAGAUACUAGAUAUUGUACA